CAUACAGAGAGAUGAAAAAGAUGAUGUCAUAAAAGACAUCAAGGCUCAGCUGCAGACGUCACAAAAUAAGAUUGCUGACUUAAUGGAAGCAAAAUUACAUAAUGAAGAAAUGUUAAAGGAAUCCCAGGGCAGUAAAGAACAUUUGAGGGCAGAGCUGGAAGAGGCUAAAAUUUCAUUGCAAAAGGCAGAGGUUACUCAGAAGAACUUGGAAACUGAAUUCCAGACUACAGUGAAAACAUUAAUUCAGGUCACUGGAGAAAAGGAAGAGCAGGAGGAAGAAUGUAAAAAAAUGAAGGCUUUGCUUG